GACGAACGCUGGCGGCGUGCUUAACACAUGCAAGUCGAACGGAAAGGCCCUGCUUUUGUGGGGUGCUCGAGUGGCGAACGGGUGAGUAACACGUGAGUAACCUGCCCUUGACUUUGGGAUAACUUCAGGAAACGGGGGCUAAUACCGGAUCGGAGCUCCUGCUGCAUGGUGGGCGUUGGAAAGUUGCGGCGGUUGGGGAUGGACUGGCGGCUUAUCAGCUUGUUGGUGGGGUAGUGGCUUACCAAGGCUUUGACGGGUAGCCGGCCUGAGAGGGUGACCGGGCACAUUGGGACUGAGAUACGGCCCAGACUGCUACGGGAGGCAGCGGUGGGAAAUAUUGCACAAUGGGCGGAAGCCUGAUGCAGCAGCGCCGCGUGCGGGAUGACGGCUUUCGGGGUGUAAACCGCUUUAGCCUGUGACGAAGCGUGGGUGACGGUAAUGGGUAAAGAAGCACCGGCUAACUACGUG
rnacentral:rRNA from 1 species